AAAGCUUGCGAGCCUUGCAUGAUCUCAAAGAGUUCUUUGAAUGUGGAAAGAUCUUUGUUAAUCGCCGUAACGAUAAUCACAAGGAGCAUCUCUAUCGCUUCUGCGUGAGAUCAAUUACGGAUUUGAGAGACAAGAUCAUUCCAUUCUUUCAAGAGAAUCAACUCAGGACAGCUAAGCGAUCGGACUUUGAGAAGUUCGCUCGCGUGCUGGCGUUGAUCGGAGAAAGAAAACAUCUGAACUCAGAAGGAAUCAUGGAAAUUGCGAACAUCGCGCAAACGAUGAAUCGCAAGAAACCAUCCAGGUUCUUAGAAUCCUCAGAGACUACACGCCAGGCAUCUUCCAAACAGAAGAUGAAGAUAUAGUCCGUGCUGCAUGGCGACAUGCAGAGGCCGGCAGAAAUGACCAGCCCGUCGAUGAAAGUCGGCGUAACAAAGUCAGAGCGAAAUUCCUUGUCGGGUAAGUUCCGACCUGCACGAAUGGCGUAACGAUCUGGGAGCUGUCUUAACGAGAGACACAGCGAACUUGUAGUACCGGUGAAGAUGCCGGUUUCCCGCAUUUAGACGGAAAGACCCCGUGCACCUUUACUACAACUUGAUAGUGAUUUCGGGCAAACGAUGCGCAGGAUAGAUGGGAGGCUUUGAACUCGCCCUUUUGGGGGCGGGGGAGCCAACGGUGAGAUACCAUCCUUCGUUUGUCUGGACUCUAACCUACCGCCGUUAUCCGGCGGAGGGACACUAUCAGGCGGGUAGUUUGACUGGGGCGGUCGCCUCCCAAAGAGUAACGGAGGCGCUCGAAGGUUGGCUCAGGCUGUUUGGAAAUCAGCCGUAGAGUGUAAACGCAUAAGCCAGCUUGACUGCGAGACAGACAAGUCGAGCAGGUACGAAAGUAGGAGUUAGUGAUCCGGCGGUUCUGUAUGGAAGGGCCGUCGCUCAACGGAUAAAAGGUACGCCGGGGAUAACAGGCUGAUCCUGCCCAAGAGUUCACAUCGACGGCAGGGUUUGGCACCUCGAUGUCGGCUCAUCGCAUCCUGGGGCUGAAGAAGGUCCCAAGGGUUUGGCUGUUCGCCAAUUAAAGCGGUACGUGAGCUGGGUUUAGAACGUCGCGAGACAGUUCGGUCCCUAUCUGGUGUGGGCGCAGCAGGUUUGAGGGAAUCUGUCCUUAGUACGAGAGGACCGGGAUGGAUCCACCUCUAGUGUACGAGUUAUCGUGCCAACGGUAACGCUCGGUAGCUAAGUGGAGCAUGGAUAAACGCUGAAUGCAUCUAAGCGUGAAGCCAGACCCAAGAUUAGACCUGCCAGUGAGGCUCGUCGUAGACCACGACGUUGAUAGGGUGGGUAUGCAAGCGUUGAAAGGCGCUCAGUUGACCACUACUAAUUAGCCCCUUGGCUUGACC
rnacentral:rRNA from 1 species